rnacentral:lncRNA from 1 species
UGCCCUCAGUUGUUUUUCUGGGCCUUGUUUUUUAGUUUCCUCAUGUUUUAAUCUCAUGGGGAUGAGCUCAGAGAAGCUCCCUGGGCCUGUUUCCCAGUCUGCAAAGUGAAGGGAUUAGAUCGGAUGGUCUCUGAGGCUCUUUGUGGCAUCAGCCUUGUCCAGUGCCACACAGUAUCUCCUGGCUUUCUAGGAGUCUAGAUGUUAUGGAAAGUACCCACGUCUGUGUAUCUCCUAUUCCUGUGCAUCUCCUAUGAAUCUCCUGGCAAGAGGAAGACUCAAGAUUUCCUCCAGAGGAAUUGGUCUUCCCUGCCUUCACUCAGCAUGGGAAUCAGUGUUCAUCCUGCCCUUGUCUGCAUCAGAUUUGGCAGUGAGGAGGCUUGGGGAGCACCUACCUUACUUUCAGGGACAGGAAUCUAUUGCUCAUACUUGUUUCCUAGAGUUGUCAAUCUAAAGGCAUUGUCAUGUGACCUGCCUUUCCUCUCCACAUCCCCACCUCUAAUGCUCAAGAUGCUAUUUCCAGGAUCUCCUCCUGCUGCUGCUCCUGGCUCACUGGCCAGAAACUAGCUCACUCAAGGCUGCCGUCCCUCACUUGCGGCCUCCCUGCCAUUCUCCUUCACUGGUUGGCAACCUUGAGAGUUCAAAGGAAAUCAACCUCCGUGGUGGUCAACUGAAGGUAUAGGAAACUAAGUCUGUGGCUCUUCUCUGCUGAUGGAAACAGAAGGGCGCCAAGCCAUGCUUAAAAAGAUCUCGCCAAUAAUUCUUGUGUUUGGGUGUUGGAGCCCUGGAUUCUGGUGCUAUAUAGCUCCUGGUGCCAAAGUCUGGAUCUUUCCACAUUUCAGCAGCACCAACAUCUGCUGCUACUCAAAAUGUCCUGUGGAAGAGGGACAGCUGUGAAGCCCUUUUGCUGGGGCUGUCAUCUUGAAAUCUGAGUGCAAUAGGAUUUGAUUGUAACAGUUAUUUCAGGAUAUUUUGUUUCUUUAAUCUGCACACUUUCUAGAUAGAUUUUAUUUUUAAAUGUCCUCAGCAUUGCAGAAAAUAACGUAGUAAUAGCAAGUAAAGGCUGGAGGCUCAGUUUCUCUGGGCUUCAAAUGGCUGGCAAGGCUGGCUCUCAAAUCCCAAAGUUGGGAGGCAUGUUUCUGGAAAGCAACUGAGGUGUAACUGUUUGGACCCAGGCCUCAUCGUCAGGGGUCCUGGAGGAAGCCUCCAAGUAGAGGGGAGACCUGUAGUUGGAUAGUUGUUUAAUCAAGCCAAAUAGUCUCACUGCCCCCAGUCAGCAAACCCACUUUUAUGACAAGUUUCUUCCAUAGCUUGGCUCUUAAAUUUUACUGGCAGGUGUAUGGUUGUUGGAGGGUUCCUAGUGAGUUGGGGUACCUGGCAAUAGAGCUGCUUGGUUGGAGGGAGUGGAGCUGGCUUAGUACCAGCAGCUGAUCUCUUCCACCUGCUGCUGUUUUUUUGCCACUCUGACACGAAACCAGAGAAAGCUGGAGGUGGAUAAAUAAGCGGUGGCGGUUUUUUUGCUUUUGGGUGGCAAUGAAAGAGUCACAGUGUGGGUUAAAGGGAUCUGCAGUGGGGCCAAGGAUGCCACCUCACCCUCAGCUGCAGGCAAGCUUGCACAAAAAUAACCCCCUCUCGUUGGAGUGUUCGGGAUGUGGGGGGCGCUAUAGUGUUCUUGGACUUGUCGUCCUGGGGCACUUUUAGUUCUUUAUAUUUAGUGGGUCAGUGCCAAGUGCUACCACUUCCCAAUAAAGGAAUGGGGAUCCAGAGGCUGGGUCCCUGGCUACCUUGUUAGGAGGUUUUGUUAUUUCUCUGACAAGACUGCUUUGGAAAGAGCUGCUUUUAGGGAUUAUGUUUUGAAUACCCCGAGUGGGGAACAGGGUUCUCCUCAAAACCUCACAACCAAGAUCAUAGGAGAAAGGGGCCCUAUUUUCCUGCUGCUUCCCAGCUCAGAACAUACUGAAUGGAAUGUAUUUUUAAGAGAAUAAAGUCUAUUUUUUUGUAUUUUAAAGAUUGAGAGGGCUAAGAAGGUAGCCCUCAAAUAAACUGUUAUUGCAUUAUAGGCCCCUUUGUUGGGGGCAGUCUGUUGGUCCACACCUACUUGCUCAGGCAGGUGCUCUGGUCUCACCCCUGCCCCUUGGAGUCUAGGUGCAGCAGCUUCUACAUUCCUGCUCCAAGCAUGGGACCAAGGAGGCCGGAACCUGUCGCUGGAAACCAGGGCAAAGCAGUGGCUCAGGGCUCCUUGGGUGCAUGUGUAUCGUUGGAGCUGCCUGUCUGCAUGUAUCCUCUGGCGUGAAUGCUCUCUGUUGGCUCUGCAGUACAAUAUGUAACCAAUAAAGCUCCCUCGUUUCC